UCAGAGAGUGUGCAAAGCAGUGAUAGAUAUUAUGCAGCUUGAAGAUGAUUUGAGAUUAAAGAGAAAAAGAGAGAUGGGAGUUUUCUUGUUUUGUUUGUUCUUCCUCGAACCACUGCGACUCCAUUUCACACUUCUUCUACUCGAAUUUCUGCAUAUAUUUUCGAUUGAAAUGGUUAUUGCUGAUGUGAAAUAUGCAGAUUUGUUAAUGAAGGUGAUGAGUGAUGAAGGUGAUGAAGAAAUUCUAAGGAUUUUUGUGGUGAUUCUUGUAAGUUGA